ensembl:lncRNA
GUGUGUGUGUGUGUGUGUGUGCGUGCGUGCGUGUGUGUGUGUGUGUGCAGAGGCAGAAGGAUAUGGGCUAGAGGGGCCAGCUGAGUUUUCAAAACUUUCACAGGAGACCGAAAUAGCCCCGAGAGUGUAGUGAUCAGUGGGAAGAGGGAAGAGAACAAGAAAGAGAGGGGGGAAAAAUCUGCAAAAGACUGAUGACCCCGGACAUCAUGAAUAAGAGGAACCCGAGGAGUGAGGAGGGAAGGAGGGACGGAGCGAGGGAGGACCUGAGCCCUAGGACCACGCCCCAGGACUACCUGACAUGAUGACUCCUUGCUGUCCCCAGUCCAUCUGACCAUGCUGCUGCUCCAGUUUCAACUGUUCUGCCUUAUUAUUAUACGACCAUGCUGGUCAUUUAUGAACAUUUGAACAUCUUGGCCAUGUUCUGUUAUAAUCUCCACCCGGCACAGCCAGAAGAGGACUGGCCACCCCACAUAGCCUGGU